UGGGGAAUAUUGCACAAUGGGGGAAACCCUGAUGCAGCGACGCCGCGUGAACGAAGAAGGUAUUCGUAUCGUAAAGUUCUGUCCUAUGGGCAGAUAAUGACAGUACCAUAGAAGAAAGCUCCGGCUAAAUACGUGCCAGCAGCCGCGGUAAUACGUAUGGAGCGAGCGUUGUCCGGAAUUAUUGGGCGUAAAGGGUACGCAGGCGGUUUAAUAAGUCGAAUGUUAAAGAUCGGGGCUCAACCCCGUAAAGCAUUGGAAACUGAUAAACUUGAGUAGUGGAGAGGAAAGUGGAAUUCCUCGUGUAGUGGUGAAAUACGUAGAUAUUAGGAGGAAUACCAGUAGCGAAGGCGACUUUCUGGACACAAACUGACGCUGAGGUACGAAAGCGUGGGGAGCAAACAGG
rnacentral:rRNA from 1 species